rnacentral:rRNA from 1 species
UAUGGUGUGUGCCAGCCGCCGCGGUAAUACGUAGGUGGCGAGCGUUAUCCGGAAUGAUUGGGCGUAAAGGGUGCGUAGGUGGCAGAUCAAGUCUGGAGUAAAAGGUAUGGGCUCAACCCGUACUGGCUCUGGAAACUGAUCAGCUAGAGAACAGAAGAGGACGGCGGAACUCCAUGUGUAGCGGUAAAAUGCGUAGAUAUAUGGAAGAACACCGGUGGCGAAGGCGGCCGUCUGGUCUGGAUUCUGACACUGAAGCACGAAAGCGUGGGGAGCAAAUAGG